AUGAACGCUGGCGGCGUGCCUAAUACAUGCAAGUCGAGCGAACAGACGAGGAGCUUGCUCCUCUGACGUUAGCGGCGGACGGGUGAGUAACACGUGGAUAACCUACCUAUAAGACUGGGAUAACUUCGGGAAACCGGAGCUAAUACCGGAUAAUAUAUUGAACCGCAUGGUUCAAUAGUGAAAGACGGUUUUGCUGUCACUUAUAGAUAGAUCCGCGCCGCAUUAGCUAGUUGGUAAGGUAACGGCUUACCAAGGCAACGAUGCGUAGCCGACCUGAGAGGGUGAUCGGCCACACUGGAACUGAGACACGGUCCAGACUCCUACGGGAGGCAGCAGUAGGGAAUCUUCCGCAAUGGGCGAAAGCCUGACGGAGCAACGCCGCGUGAGUGAUGAAGGUCUUCGGAUCGUAAAACUCUGUUAUUAGGGAAGAACAAAUGUGUAAGUAACUAUGCACGUCUUGACGGUACCUAAUCAGAAAGCCACGGCUAACUACGUG
rnacentral:rRNA from 1 species